GAGUAAGAGCAUCUAUUGCAAAAUUAAAUGGUGCAUCUUUCCUUGAAGGUUGGCCAAAGUAGCUAGUGAUUCUCCGUGCCUAUCAAAUUGGUUUUCUACUGUUUUGAUAAUGGCCUCGAACAAGUCGCAACAUC